GCGCACGUGGCGGAAUUGGUAGACGCGCCAGCUUGAGGGGCUGGUGGGAGCAAUCCCGUGGAAGUUCGAGUCUUCUCGUGCGCA
rnacentral:tRNA from 1 species